GAUGAACGCUGGCGGCGUGCUUAACACAUGCAAGUCGAACGGGAAAUAUUUCAUUGAGACUUCGGUGGAUUUGAUUUAUUUCUAGUGGCGGACGGGUGAGUAACGCGUGGGUAACCUGCCUUAUACAGGGGGAUAACAGUCAGAAAUGGCUGCUAAUACCGCAUAAGCGCACAGAGCUGCAUGGCUCAGUGUGAAAAACUCCGGUGGUAUAAGAUGGACCCGCGUUGGAUUAGCUAGUUGGUGGGGUAACGGCCCACCAAGGCGACGAUCCAUAGCCGGCCUGAGAGGGUGAACGGCCACAUUGGGACUGAGACACGGCCCAGACUCCUACGGGAGGCAGCAGUGGGGAAUAUUGCACAAUGGGGGAAACCCUGAUGCAGCGACGCCGCGUGAAGGAAGAAGUAUCUCGGUAUGUAAACUUCUAUCAGCAGGGAAGAUAGUGACGGUACCUGACUGAGAAGCCCCGGCUAACUACGUG
rnacentral:rRNA from 1 species